rnacentral:rRNA from 1 species
UACGGGGGGGGCAAGCGUUGUUCGGAAUUACUGGGCGUAAAGGGCUCGUAGGCGGCCAACUAAGUCAUACGUGAAAUCCCUCGGCUUAACCGGGGAACUGCGUCUGAUACUGGAUGGCUUGAGUUCGGGAGAGGGAUGCGGAAUUCCAGGUGUAGCGGUGAAAUGCGUAGAUAUCUGGAGGAACACCAGAAGCGAAGGCGGCCAACUGGCCCGAUACUGACGCUGAGGCGCGAAAGCGUGGGGAGCAAACAGG